UGUAAUUUAUUUGUUAUCUACACUCAUGUGCCAUAUUAAAGUUCACAAAAUGGCCGCUGUGAUUCUUGCCAGCAGUAGCUGGUUCUUUUAAAUGAAAGUUUAUUUCAU